rnacentral:lncRNA from 1 species
UUGGAUUAACUAAUGCCCCUGCCGCAUUUAUGAAUUUGAUAAAUUGAAUAUUUAAGCCGUUCUUGAAUAGAUUUGUGGUAGUGUUCAUUGAUGAUAUUUUGAUUUACUCCCGAAAUAAUGCUAAGCACGAGGAGCACCUAAGGAUAGUAUAACAGCUUCUUAGGGAGAAGAAAUUGUAUGCUAAGUUGAAGAUGUGUGAAUUUUGGCUUUGGAAGAUUUCUUUCUUGGGCCAUGUGAUUUCUACAGUUGGAGUAGCAGUUGACCUGAAGAAGAUUGAUGCUAUUCGAGAUUGGUCCAGACCGACGACGGUUACCGAGGUGAGGAGCUUCUUUGGAUUGGCUGGUUAUUACCGUCGGUUUGUGGAAGGCUUUGCGAAGCUUUCCACACCCCUCACUCGAUUGACUCAGAAAGGAAUUAAGUUUGUCUGGAGUGAGAAUUAUCAGAGGAGCUUCGAUGAGUUAAGACAGAGGUUGAUGUCGGCUUCUAUCUUCGCCCUUCUAGUCAUUGGGGAAGGAUUUGUGAUCUACAAUGAUGCAUCUAAUAGCAAGUUGGGAUGUGUUCUAAUGCAGCAUAGUAAGGUAAUUGCUUAUGCUUCCCGACAGCUAAAAGAUUAUGAGAAGAAUUAUCCUACGAAUGACUUAGAGCUUUCCGUGUUUCCAUGGUAAGCACGGAGCCUUCCGUGCUUCCAAGUCGUUUUCGAUGUUGGGACUUUCGAAUCGACGAUCGGCUCCGUUAAACUUGAUCUAGAGUAUUUGAAGUAUCUAGAAAAUAAAUUUUGUGAUUUUUUGAUAUCAAAAUCAAUAAUUUUGAUGGCCGUGAUGAGCUGUUUGCAAGUUUAACGGUGUAGAAAUAUCCAAAUCACGUGAAAUUUUGAUAGAAAAUUCUUUAUACUAUAUAAAAUAAGAUCAAUAUAUUUGAUUUAAAAUUUUAAUGUUAUAUCAUCAUAUUUUGUAAGAUUUUUAUUUUCAGCCGUUGAUUUUGAGCCACUUCGAUCACUAGGCAAAUGAUAUCAAAAAAUCGCAAAUUUAUUUUCUAGAUACUUAAAAUACUCUAUAUCAAGUCUAACAGAGCUGAUCGUCGAUUCAAAAGUUGUAACGACCCAGCCCACUAGCAACAAUAACUCGUUGGGCCCAAUCACCGGCCCAAAAUGCUUAAGCCCAGUUAUUAUUACUAGUGUCUAAGUCUAUUAUAAACCCAAUAACAACCCCUUUCCCAUCCGAUGUGGGACUAUUGGGGUGUCACAGACUCCCCCCGUUAAGGCCCUAACGUCCUCGUCAUGGGGCCCUGACGUCCUCGUCAGUCCAAUCACACACAGCCCAAGAUCACCAGGCGAUGUGAGACUCGUCUCGCUAGCCUGUCAUCCAGACCCUUGCUCAGCCGAGACUCGCCACACAUGUCCAGCUGGUGAACCGGCUCUGAUACCAAAUGUAACGACCCAGCCCACUAGCAACAAUAACUCGUUGGGCCCAAUCACCGGCCCAAAAUGCUUAAGCCCAGUUAUUAUUACUAGUGUCUAAGUCUCUUAUAAACGCAAUAACAACCCCUUUUCCAUCCGUUGGGACUAUUGGGGUGUCACAAAAGUCCAACAUGAAAAUGACUGAAAGUAUACGGAGCGCCGUCCGUGGCUUACCAGAAAACAUACAGAGCGCACCUCAUAUAUAAUAUAUAUAUAUAAGAGAGAGAGAGAAGAGAGAGAGAUAGAGAAUGCGCGCUAGCUACUAUAUCUAUCUAUAGUACCAGCUCGCGUAUAUAUGUUGUUAUCGAUCUUAGGGUGUUCAAAUCAACGAUCCACACCUUUAGAAACUGAUCUAUGGGUAUUAAAUUAUCUAGAAAUAAAAUUUUAUAUUUUUUCAACAUAGUUUUUUACUUUAUGAAUCAAAGACUAUUCAAAAUGUCAAUUUUCAUGCUAUUAGAUCGAGUCUUGAGUUAAACGGGUGAAAAUCUAAAAUUUCUUCAAAAUUUAUAGACAAAAAUACUUUAAACUAUAUAAAUUAAGGUUAACAUUCUUGAUCUUGAAUUUAAAAGUCCUAUGCUCAAAUUUUAAAGAUUAUUCAAUUUCCACCGUCCAUUUUGAUAUAAUUUAUUUACUAAGUAAACGAUAUCGAAAAAAACUAAAAUUUUAUUCCUAAGAAAUUCAUAUACCCUAGAUCAUAUUUAACGGUGUGGAUCGUUGAUUUGAACGCCCUAAGAUCGAAAACAAACACUAUAGUACCAGAGCUCGGUACUAUAGAUAGUAUAGUAGCCUAAUUCUAUAUAUAUAUAUAUAUAUAUAUAAAAGAGUCCGGCUAAGGUGCUUAAAAGCACCAAGCACUUGAUACUUGUAAAUUUUAUACCAUUAGAUCUACGCCUUUAAUCAUUUUCAGCCGUUAGAUUAUACUAUUCAACCAACCACUCACUCAACCCUAUGGGGCCCACAUCAUCCUAACCACACAUUCCUUAAUCCAAUGGUAAAAAAUCUACAAGCACCAACAACUUGGCACUUUUAAAAGCAUAGGAGCUCAAUUCUAUAUAUAAUGUAUAUAUGUGAAGUCUUUUCAACAUUUUAUGAAUUUAAAAUUACUAUAAUAUCUUUAAUUAGAUUUUUUUUUUUUUCCUGAGGGUAAAGCUAGGCAAGCCUCCAAUUAGGCCUUCACAAUAUACUUCUAUAUAAGAGCUAGAAUUGCCACCCAUACAAUCUAUAGUACUAGUGUAGGGUCACUCAUAAUUUCAAAAGACAUGAUAAAUCCUUGCUUGCACUUGGUAUAUACUAAUGCUUCAUAUAUUGUAAAGUAUAUUAAAUAAUUGAUAAAUUAUUUCAUAAUUAGUAAUAUAAAAUAAGAUAUGUAAUAUAAAUUAUUUAAAUAGUUUAUUGUAAAACAUAAAUUUAUUUUUGAUAUAUAUUUUAAAAUCGGUUUACGGUGCACCUCAAAAUUUUUCUUGGACAAUUGGCAGGCUUCAAUUUGUUAAAAUAUAUUUUUGAUAUUAGAGUCAAUUUAUGAUACACCACAUGCGUCCAAAAUUCUUGUUGAACAAUUGGCCCCCAAUUAAUUAGUUCUUAGCUUAAACGGCAACCUGACUCAGUGUGGAGCCAUUUUGGUUGAUUCUUGAUGUGACUGGAAUGUCAAGUAUUGUGAGAGCGGAAAAAUCUUUGUUGCGCCUAAUGCACACUAAUGUUUCAUGCACCGUAUAGUAUAUUAAAUAAUUAGUGAAAUAUCAGAUGAUUAGUACUGUAAUAUAACAUAUGAAUAUUUGUAAUAUAAAAAUAUUUAAAUAAAUUAUUGUAUUAUGAAAAUUUAUCUUUUAUGCAUAUUUUAGAGUUAGUUUAUGUUGCACUAGGCACGUCCAAUAUUCUAUUUAGAUAGAUGGCAGUCCACCAUUGGCUUAUGUCUUAAAUAGUGACGUGGCACACUUGAGCGGCAAUUUUGUUUAUGUGGUAUUAUUGUCAAAUAAAAUAUAUGUCUAUAGAUAGAUAAGAGUAAACUUUACAUCCUAAUCUACUUAUCGCCUAUAUUAAUAUAUUAUAUUAUUUUUUUUAUUUGCUAAAAUCCUUACCAAAAUUUCAAAAGAAUUUUAUUAAUUUUUUGAUGUAAAGGUGUAAGAUGUAUAUUCCUAAGACACAAUAUUUUUCUUUCUAUAAAAAGGGAUGGACAAAAAUUAUUAGUUUGAUUUAAAAAAAGUCUAAAAUAUAGCAGUUAUAUAAAUAACUUGGCGUCUCCACACAAUCACAUUGAGCCACUAGGGUUCACGCAUUUCUAUCAUAAUUUUAGAAAAAUACUUUUAUUAUAUUUUUCUCUCGAACAAUUAAAGAUGUAAUUGGUUGAGAUAUGAAUAACGUGGUUAACCGCCGCACAGUAGGCUUCCUCCUACUUCAAAUAGCAACACGCUGAAAAAGGCAUUAAUGGUCCUGUGCGCUGUCGUGUUGCUAUAUCUUAUCCUUAUAUAGGAUGUUGCCUAGCAAUCUAACUUAUUGUUCAUGAAUCAACUUGUUUUCGACUUAAAAUGAAUUCGAAAUCAAUUGCUUAUUUAAUAAAUAAGCUGAACAUGAGUUGAGAUUAGCUGGCUCGUGUCAGACCCCAGAUAGUUCUAUAUAUAAGAUAUAAUAGGGCUAAACUCUUAACCCGGCUUAAGCAUUUUAGGUGGUGGCUAGACCCAAGAGGUUAAGAGAGUUAAACGUGCUAGGACGGGAGUAGUCCUAGGAUGGGUGACCCCCCCGGGGAAGUCGGGGCGUCACAGAUGGUAUCAGAGCCAAUUAUCAGCCGGAAGUGUGAGAUGAGUCUCGGUUGAGCCAGGGUCUGGAUGACAGGCUAGCAAAACGAGUCUCACAUCGCCUGGUACUUGUGAGUCUGAGCCUGACGAGGACGUCAGGGCUUAAAGAAGGGGAGAUUGUGAGACCCCAGAUAGUUCUAUAUAUAAGAUAUAAUAGGGCUAAACUCUUAACCGAGCUUAAGCAUUUUGGGUGGUGGCUAGACCCAAGAGGUUAAGAGAGUUAAGCGUGCUAGAACGGGAGUAGUCCUAGGAUGGGUGACCCCCUGAGGAGUCGGGGCGUCACAGCUCGUGUUCGACUCGAUAUAGCUCGUUCGUGUUUUAAUUUUCUAAUCUUCUAUCAACUUUUCAUCCAAUAAUAGAGCUAACAAUCUAACUUGUUGUUCGCAAGUCAACUCGAUCACGUUCGGCUCGUUAGUAUACAAGUUAAAUACAAGCUGAAAUUUUUAGCUUGAUAUUUUAAUGAGCCAACUUGUGUUCGGCUUGUUUAAUAACGAGCGACCACGAGCCAAUCCUAGCUCGCUCGUGUUCCGCUUGUUGAUAGCCCUAGUAGGAUGGCACCUCCCUUACCUGAAAGACUCAGGUUCAAACACCUGCAGAGAACGUGGGAUUCCGUUUCAGGGCUAGCUUACAGGCAAAUAUCAAAAAAAGAAAAAAAAUUAUUCCCUACACUAAGUGUAUACAGAUAUCUUAUUUUUGAAACUUUAUGACUUUUUUUUAUAUAUAUAUUGAUAAUUUAGAAGCCAUAAAAUACAUCAAUUGAGUUAGAUCUUGAUUUUGAAAUAUCUAUUUGUUGAUACCAAAAUUGAGCCGACCUAACCCACGUAUAAGCCAAUAAGGACACGUGGUACAUCAGGAGUCGGCAAUAAGGCGCCUGAAGGAUAAGAAGGCGGGAACGGUUGAAGAUUGGGACUUAACUUCCUUGAGGAGUUAGCGUAACUUCUAUGAGGAGUUAGUAUAACUUCCACGAUCAUGGUUACAACCACUUCCCCCAACUACUUUCAACCAAUUAAUAAUGUGGGCUAUAAAUAGUAACUUUGAAGCCUGCAAUAAAGGUUUUUGCCCCUGCGCAUAAAAUACCACCCUUAUUUUCCUGCAUCUUUUUUUCUCGCAUUUACUGCUUUCCCUAGGAGUAGUUCUUGUAAUUUAGAUCUUUGGAGUCUGUCUGCCCCAUGGGCAUUACUCCCUUAUAGAAUAUACUUAGAGUCUGUCUGCCCCAUGGGCAUCACUCCCUUAUAGAAUAUAUUUAGAGUCUGUCUGCCCCACGGGCAUUACUCCCCUGUUCUUGUACUUUUCCAUUUUCUAUUCAAUAGAAAGUCACGUUCGGCUAUUCAGGCCGACCAUUGUGCUAGCCAUUCGACUCAUCUCCUGACUUAAUUUUCGGCUUUCCCCGCAUAUUCGGCUCAUCCAGCCGAACCGAAGAGUGAAAAGAGCUUUCGGACCCGGCUGAUUCGAUCCCUCAUCAGCCGAAUCGCUUGAUCGAGUCGAAGGGCGCAAACUUCGAGGGUCACUAUCCGCAGCCGUUCCUCAUCCCGACACGCUCCACGAGGAGGAUCUUUGACCGGGUCAAAGGUCGAAAAAUUCGGCUACCAAUAAAUUUUGGCACGCCCAGUGGGACACAUUUUUAGGUAAAUUUAUAUUUUAUAUAAAUUAUGGCUGAUGAUAACGCCAUGAAUCUAUGUAAUAGGGUUGUUCCUAGAAAUUCUGGGAGUGAUCAACCUAGUGAUUCAGACAAUGCUGGCGAAUAUCAAGCAGUUUUGCCAGUUGAAGGAGAAACUAGUGGACAGUCGGCUCAUCAAGAGCCGAGUCUAACUCAGGCACUCGGCCAGAUGAGCCGAGUCCUGCAAACUUUAGAUCAAAAUAUCCAUCAAAGUACCGCUCGACUAGACGCGGUGCUGGCCGCUAUCACGGCCUAUAAUGAAAAUAUUGGUCGAAUCAGACAAUUAUUUAUCCGAAACGAGCAACCUUAUUGGGGGCAACAAUGGCCCCUAAAUGUGCCGGUGUAUUUCGAAUUAAAAAUUCGAGCUCAAAUACGAAUUAAAAUUUUGAACGAACAACACAUAUAACGAAAUUACGUUUGAUAUUUUAAAAUAUCAAAAUCAUAAUUUUUACAAUUUUCACUAGUUUGAUUUUGGAUUUAAUUUUGUUUUUACAAAUUUUUAAAUUGUAAGGGAUAAUUCUAGAAAAUUGUUUGUAUUAUUAUCUAUAUUUCAAAAAAUCGAAUAAUACAUCUAAACGCAAGAAUUUUAUAUUCUUAAUUAGUAAUCUAAUGAGAUAAGAUUCUUAUAUGAAUAAAACGUACGUACGUAGAAAUGCUGUUAUUUCCUAUUAAUUUUUAUACCUAAAAAUAAGAUUCUCUUAAUUUAAUCUAAUAAUUUUGUGGAAUCUUUUAUGGCGCAGACCAAAUACACCAUGAAAGUAAUCACCUAGUGCUUUUAUUCUAAAAUAAUAAUAAUAAUAAUAAUAAUAAUAAUUUGAAAAUAGUUGAGUACUAGUAGAAGCUUCUCAUAAUAUUGCUCCUAUAAGUGUUAUUAGGCAUUGGGACCUAUAUAAUGUAAAUUUGUUUGGUGGUGACAUGCAAAUAAAAUAUUACAUACAUAUAUAUUAACAUACAUAUCAAUAACUCAAACAAAAAAUAUUAUAGCAGGAUCUAAAUAUUUCUUAUAAAUAAAGUUAUAAAUAAAAUUAAGUUUGAAUUUCUGAGUCAACUAAAUAAAAUAUAUAAUGUUCACACCGUAGUUUACUUAAUUGUGCUACUUAAAGCUAACUAAAUUAACUAGAAAAGUUGCUAAAACUAAAGUUUAAAAUUUUAUUCAAACAAAAAAUCAGCUAUUUAAUUAUUUGAAGAGCAAUUCUAGAAGGGGGCUAUAAAAUCUUACAGCUUCUUUAUCCAAAGGCCAAUAACUUUUUUUUUUAUAUAUAUAUUUUAUCAACUUUUUUAAAAAAAUAUUAAAAAUUUAGUAAAAUUUAUACUGCUUUCGGAGUGUAGUAACUAGUAAUUUAAUUUCUUAAUUAUCUGAACUCGGUUAAUUAAUAAAAUGUUUUCAAAAAUCAAUAAGGAAAAAGACAGUGUAGCCCCACCCACCAUGUGUUUUUCAUGAUUUGAUUUGAUAAAAACGAACUAUGGGUUGGCCACGUGUCAACCUCUAAGCAGUUGCAACCAAAUAGUUGUUGUGCAGUGGCUUGCUAUUCAUCAAUUAUUAUUAUUAUAUUAUUAUUAUUAUUAUUAUUAUUAUUAUUAUUAUUAUUAUUAUGCCACAACCAAUUAAUAUAUCCCCACUAGCUAGUGGGGAUUUAAUUGGAAUUUACAUUUAUAGAUGGAUAGAAUUGCAGAUUCUGACAUUUGAUUAUUACAGCAUAGUUAGUUGCUUCGAUCUGAAUGAAUGUCUUUUUUUGAGGGAAAACACGCCCUUAGGCGAAUUUAUUUAUCAAUCGGGAGGUACAACUUGGUAGAAUUCAUCUACAGAGGACCAAAACGAGAGUUUGUUGCUAGUAAGCCCCCAGUUGGCCAAACGAUCUGCAACUACAGCAUUUUUAGAAUGUCGGUGUAGUACAUUUGUUUGGUUUUUUUAGUUUUGGAUGGUUAUGAUGGUGAGAUUUAGUUGUCCAUAUAUAUAACCUGAUUGAUUUCUUCUACUGUCUUCUUCAUUCUUUUAUUAAAAAGAUUUUUGCUGUUGUAAUAUAUAGUUGUUACUGUGGUUGUGAUUGUUGUUUUAUACACCGACUAGUUAAGGGACCCGCGCGAUGCUGCGGGUAGUUAUUUUAAAAUUUAAUUUUGAAAAUUAGUUAUAAAAAUUAAUUUCAGAAUUAGAUGGUGUAAUAAGUACAUCAAAAAAUUUUAGUAGGCAUAGUAGUCCUCCAUUAGUUAGUGAAAUUAUUUUAGUAGGUAUCGUAGUCCCCCAGUAGUUAGUGAAUGAGAAGAGAAAUCAUGCUGCGGGUAGUUAUUUUGAAAUUCAAUUUUGAAAAUUAGUUAUAAAAUAAAUGCAGUUAUCUUUUCUAAUGUAAUAAGAAAUAAUUUUUAGUAGGCAUCGUAGUUCCCCAGUAGUUAGUGAAAUAAUUUUUAGUAGGUAUCGUAGUGCAAUAAGUAUAUCUAAUACCAAUAGUCUAAAUUAUUUAACAUUUAUUUAUAUAUUUUUCAUUUUAUAAUUAUAAAUAGUAAAUUAUAUAAUAAAUUAUUAUAUAAUAAUAUAUCUAUAUAACAAUAAAAUACUAUAUAUAAUAAAUAAAUAUAUAUUUAUAAAUAAAUUAUAUAUAUAUUAUAUAAAUAAAAUUNUGGACCUCCCUCUCUUUGGCCUCGUGGACCCCGUGCAACCCACCACCCAAGAGCCGCGAUUUUUUUUAGGCUCCGCGCAGACCCCGCGCCGCGCCCGCCCCCUCGCCGGCGCCCGCCCUCGCCCCGCGGCGCCAGCGCCGGAGCCCACCCCCGCGCCCGCGCCAUCGCACGCCCCGCGCCCGCUCCUCGCGCCCCGCCCCCGGCGCCGCCCCCGCGCCUCGCGCCCAGCGCCGCGCCGCGCCCGCGCCAGCGCCCGCCCCCGCGCGUCGGCCUCCUCGCGACACGUGUGAAGUUAUUGAGGAAUAAUAUAUAGUUAUAGAUGCCGCGCGCGCACGGCCAGAGAAGAUGGUAUUCGGGAUGGCCGGCCCGUCGCGUCUUGGAUUACACUUUAAGCUAUCGUUUGGUUCGGGGUUAAGAAAAAAUUAGUUAUUUCCGGGAUAGGGUUAAGUUCAGGGUUAAGAUGGGGUUAAAAUAUUUUUUAUGUUUGGUUGGAGGUUGGAGUUAGUCCAGGAUAAAGAAAAAUAGCGUUUGGUCGGAGUAGGUGGGAUAAAAAAAAUAGUAGAUAAAUUAGUGUUUUAUUUGAUUGGAGUAGUGGGGUGGGGUGGGGUGGGGUGGGGUGGGGUUAG